ensembl:snRNA U6 U6 spliceosomal RNA
GCUCGCUUUGGCAGUGCAUAUACUAAAACUGGAACAAUAGAGAGAAGAUUAGCAUGGCCCCUGCACAAGAAUGGCAUGCAAAUUCAUGAAGCAUUCCAUGUUUUU